GGAAGCUACUGGAUAUCCUAAUGAUUUAAGUCACUGCAGUUACUUAAGUUACCUUCUUUGCUGCUUUAUUUCAUGAAGCUAGAAACAUUGGAGCGUGGCUGAACAUUUAUUCUUUUUCCCUUCCCCACAAUGAAUUAGGAAGGUGGUCCCUGCUUAAAAUAGAUAGACAAUUAUCAGACCACUAAGGCAGCCAGUUGUAGCUUCAUUCACACUGGUUCUCUGUGGAUGCCAAGAGUUUGCAGGAUUGAGGCCAGUAUUUAUAACUCCAAUCUACUGCAUAGCUCUUUUUCAAUUCUUGAUUCUUAACAGGUGCUCUCCUCCUGCCCAGUCUCUGCUGACUGUGAAAGCAAUUGAAGGAAUAAUUUCCUGGGAUAUGGUGUCCAGCUGUGUGCAUGCAUGAUAUACUGAAAAUAAGGGACACUGCUAUUUGGAGAGUGUUUCCAGUGGUGAAGCUCUGAAUGGCCUGGGAUCUGAUAGACAUCCCAGAUUCUGGCUCUGAGUCCAGUGAAGUAUUUCUAAGCAUGCUUAACUCCAGGCACAUGACUGCUCCAGCAAACAUUUGGAAGACUUUCUACAGGCUCAAAGGUAAGCACACACUUAGAGGGUUUGCUAACUGCAAGUUUUGUUUUUCUGAUAUAUUUUAUGACUGUGCAGUGCACAAUAAAAAUGCUCUUGAAUAAAGAUCAGUAUCUUUCAUUCAUUUUCUAUUAUUCUAUGUUCAUCAUUGUCCGUGUUUCUGCUGAAUUGUUUAUCUAGAGUCAAAUAUUGCAGUAAAGGGGCAUCUGUGAAAAGUAGCACUUUGAUACACAAGUGGUCAAAACCAAUGACAGCAAAAAAUGUGUCCAAGAUUUCUUUUGCAUAAAUGACAUGUAAAUACAUGGGAAAAAGAAAAGGAGAUAUUGCCAAUGAAUAAGAAAGGAGGAACAAAGUGGCUCUGUGUAUAUUUUUACUGCUAAAGGGUAUCUUUUUUUACUGCAGCUUAACUGGUGCCUGCUAAGUCUUGCUCUGCAAGGUUCUACAGGCACUGCAGGCACCACAGGGUAGCUGAGCAGGCUCAAGUCUCUCACACACAGCACUGUCUGCCUUUGCCCACUCUCAUCUCUUAGAGAAACUGUAGUGCUCAGCUUCUGCUAAGGGGGAUAGCUAACAUCUAAUACUGUAAAGUUAUGCAACUACCACAGCAACUACCAGAGUAGUAUUGGCAGUGAUUAAAAAAAACUAUUUGCUUUUCUAAUGGUUAUGAAAUCAUUAUAAUGAUUAUGAAAUUAAUUCUCAUUCCAGGGUAGCAGUUAGGGAAAUGGAAUUCAGAGGCAUUAGGCAAAGAUGCAAUCCCAGUUGAAUUUUUAAGUUUUAAAAGUUAGAACAUGAAACUGAAAACCAACUGUCUGGUUAUGAGGACGACAUGUUAUGAGGAGGACAUGUUCUUUAUGAGCUGUUCGCUUACAUUUUCUGAUGAUUCAUCUGCCUGUGGAAAUCCUUUGCCAUCCCUUAUAGACUAAAAUAUCAUUCUGAAGAUAGAGACAGGAUUCAAGCAGUACCAUUCUCCCCAGAUAUCUUCUGAUGAGGUGUCAGCUUCCUUUUGGCAGAGUCUGCAGGAUAGAUAAGGGACUGUGGCUACAGGCACAAAGGGCUUUUAUGACAAGGUGAGAAAGAGAAAGUUUCAGAUUAGCAGGAAUUUGUAUCUUUAUUGUGCUUUUAACUUCAGUUUCAAAUCUUAAAACAGAUUUUUGCUGGUACUUGAACUCAGUGAACUAAUGUCCUAUUGCAUUUUAAUUUCAUCACUCUGAGUCUCUGACUUCAAAGCCUGCUCCAAGUCUAGAGAAAAGUUUGCAGUCUGCUUGAUUUGGCCAUAGAAAUGUGGAUUUCUUGAUAUGGUGACAAAACAGGGGGAGCUCUUGAAAUUCACCAGUCAUGACUAAAAAACAGUCCACUAUGUGUUUUGGAAGAUCCAUUGUACUUGCACCUGGACGAAGAAUAAUCUUACCCAGCUCUUUACUGUUGAAGUGAGGAUUACUUCUUUUUAAGGAAACAAAUAGAGGAAACUUUGGAGGUAGACUAAUUGAAAAUAAAGUGAAGUAUAACAAUAAAAUAAAUAUAAAA
ensembl:lncRNA